rnacentral:rRNA from 1 species
GGACAGGUGGUGCGAUGGUUGUCGUCAGCUCGUGUCGUGAGAUGUUGGUUAAGUCCCGCAACGAGCGCAACCCUCGACCUUAGUUGCCAGCAUUCAGUUGGGCACUCUAAGGUGACUGCCGGCUAAAAGUCGGAGGAAGGUGGGGGAUGACGUCAAAUCAUCAUGCCCCUUAUGACCUGGGCUACACACGUGCUACAAUGGGCGGUACAAAGGGUCGCGAACCCGCGAGGGGGAGCCAAUCCCAAAAAGCCGCUCUCAGUUCGGAUUGCAGGCUGCAACUCGCCUGCAUGAAGCCGGAAUCGCUAGUAAUCGCGGAUCAGCAUGCCGCGGUGAAUACGUUCCCGGGCCUU